CCCCUAGAAGAUGAGGAGUUGGUAGAAUACAUCCUCACUGGUCUUGAUGAUGAGUAUGACUCAGUGGUCUCCUCCAUCCUCGCACGAUCUGAACCAGUUUCAGUGAGUGAAUUGUCUCUCAACUGCUUGCUUUCGAGA
rnacentral:snoRNA from 1 species